UGGGGAAUCUUGCGCAAUGCGCGAAAGCGUGACGCAGCAACGCCGCGUGGGGGAAGAAGGCCUUCGGGUUGUAAACCUCUUUCAGUUGGGACGAAGCCUCGGUCCGUGAACAGCCGGCCGGGGUGACGGUACCUUCAGAAGAAGCCCCGGCUAACUACGUGCCAGCAGCCGCGGUAAUACGUAGGGGGCAAGCGUUGUCCGGAAUCAUUGGGCGUAAAGCGCGUGUAGGCGGCCCGAUAAGUCCGCCGUGAAAGCCCAGGGCUCAACCCUGGGAUGCCGGUGGAAACUGUCGGGCUAGAGUCCGGAAGAGGCGAGUGGAAUUCCUGGUGUAGCGGUGAAAUGCGCAGAUAUCAGGAGGAACACCAAUGGCGAAGGCAGCUCGCUGGGACGGUACUGACGCUGAGACGCGAAAGCGUGGGGAGCAAACAGGAUUAGAUACCCUGGUAGUCCACGCCGUAAACGAUGGGCACUAGGUGUGGGGGGUGUCGACUCCCUCCGUGCCGACGCUAACGCAUUAAGUGCCCCGCCUGGGGAGUACGGCCGCAAGGCUAA
rnacentral:rRNA from 1 species